rnacentral:SRP_RNA from 1 species
AGAGGCUGGCGGUGGACAGAUGUCUCGCCAACCCGGUCAGGUCCGGAAGGAAGCAGCCGUAACGAAUCACGUCUGGGUCGCUGUCCAGUCUCUCGC